UACGAAGGGGGGCUAGCGUUGCUCGGAAUCACUGGGCGUAAAGCGCACGUAGGCGGCUUUUUAAGUCAGGGGUGAAAUCCUGGAGCUCAACUCCAGAACUGCCUUUGAUACUGAGAGCUUGAGUCCGGGAGAGGUGAGUGGAACUGCGAGUGUAGAGGUGAAAUUCGUAGAUAUUCGCAAGAACACCAGUGGCGAAGGCGGCUCACUGGCCCGGUACUGACGCUGAGGUGCGAAAGCGUGGGGAGCAAACAGGG
rnacentral:rRNA from 1 species